rnacentral:rRNA from 1 species
UACAGAGGGUGCAAGCGUUAAUCGGAAUUACUGGGCGUAAAGCGUGCGUAGACGGUUACAUAAGUCGGAUGUGAAAGCCCCGGGCUCAACCUGGGAAUGGCAUUCGAGACUGUGUAGCUAGGAUGCGGAAGAGGGAAGCGGAAUUUCCGGUGUAGCGGUGAAAUGCGUAGAUAUCGGAAGGAACACCAGUGGCGAAAGCGGCUUCCUGGACCAGAACUGACGAUCAGGCUCGAAAGCGUGGGAGCAACAGG